UUAGCCCUAAACUCAGACAGUUAACUAAACAAAACUGUCCGCCAGAGAACUACUAGCAACAGCUUAAAACUCAAAGGACUUGGCGGUGCUUUACAUCCCUCUAGAGGAGCCUGUUCUAUAAUCGAUAAACCCCGAUAUACCUCACCACCCCUUGCUAAUUCAGUCUAUAUACCGCCAUCCUCAGCAAACCCUAAAAAGGAAGAAAAGUAAGCACAAAUAUCCUUACAUAAAAAA
rnacentral:rRNA from 1 species